rnacentral:rRNA from 1 species
AACGAACGCUGGCGGCAUGCCUAACACAUGCCAGUCGAACGAGACCUUCGGGUCUAGUGGCGCACGGGUGCGUAACGCGUGGGAACCUGCCCUUAGGUUCGGAAUAACUCCCCGAAAGGGGUGCUAAUACCGGAUAAUGUCUGCGGACCAAAGAUUUAUCGCCUUUGGACGGGCCCGCGUUGGAUUAGCUAGUUGGUAGGGUAAAAGCCUACCAAGGCGACGAUCCAUAGCUGGUCUGAGAGGAUGAUCAGCCACACUGGGACUGAGACACGGCCCAGACUCCUACGGGAGGCAGCAGUGGGGAAUAUUGGACAAUGGGCGAAAGCCUGAUCCAGCAAUGCCGCGUGAGUGAUGAAGGCCUUAGGGUUGUAAAGCUCUUUUACCCGGGAUGAUAAUGACAGUACCGGGAGAAUAAGCUCCGGCUAACUCCGUG